rnacentral:rRNA from 1 species
UACGAACCGUCCAAACGUUACUCGGAAUUACUGGGCUUAAAGGGUGCGUAGGACCGCGCGGAGGGUGGGAUGUGAAAUCCCCCGGCUCAACCGGGGAAUAGCGUCCCAAACCGCCGUGCUCGAGGGAGACAGAGGUGAGCGGAACUGAUGGUGGAGCGGUGAAAUGCGUUGAUAUCAUCAGGAACACCAGUGGCGAAAGCGGCUCACUGGGUCUUUCCUAACGCUGAGGCACGAAAGCUAGGGGAGCGAACGGG